rnacentral:lncRNA from 1 species
UUUCACAGUAAUGUGCUUUUCUUGGCAUGUAACACACUGGGAGAGGUCCUUAUGUGAGUUGGGUCUGCAGUGAAACAGCUGCUGGGACUGGUGUUGGUGUGGGUUGCUGUUGUGAGUCCCCGUGUCUCGGAUAAUACUGACCGUCUGUGACUUCAUGGGUCUAGAGAUGAUCAAAUUCACUCUCUCCCCACUAGCCUGUAUAACCUGAGCAGCAAGCUCGGGUGUCCCGUGC